CNUGUGGACCGAUAACACCUGAAGUCGCUGAGCUAACCGCAAGGAGGCAGGCGCCGAGGGUGGGAUUGGUGACUGGAGCG
rnacentral:rRNA from 1 species